GAGGAUAUGGCUGCAUUCAACCUCAAUGAAACCAGAAUUGCCUUCAUGCUUAGCAUACAAAAGUAGGCUCACUUAAGCAUAACGUCUGGUAGCUUAACAAAAGUAGGCAUACUUAAGCAUACUCUAUACGAAAAAUAGCCCUUUAUUGAAAAAUGAACAAGAAACCUUUGCCCAAAAAUUUAUGGAAAAAAUACCUUUGCCUAGAACAAAAUACCCCUCUUUAUGAAAAAUGAACUUAACAAUUAGACUCAAAAAUUUAUGAAAAAUCUCACUAAUUUAGGAAGAACAAGAAAUCAAAUACUUCAACUUUAUCAACAGUCAGGCUCCAUAACCAACAUACUUCAAAUAUGUCUAAAUAAAGAGGAAAUAACACCCAAAUCAUGUAAACAAGUCUAAGACAGCUUAACCAUAAAUAAACCUUAAAUUUGAUAAAGAAAUGCAUAAAUCAGUAAUUAACAAAAUACCUUUGCCUAGCAUCUACGAUUUGACUGCUGUCUUCAAAUGCUAUUUUGACGUUGGGUUUUGGUGGGCUGUUGUCUUUGCACCGUGGCCAAUGGCGCGCGCCGAUCAGUGGUCCAAAUGUCGGCGAUGAAGAAGCAUGCGGGUUUCCUCUUGCUUUGUGAUUUGGGGAAAAUGUCUAGAUUUUUUUUUUGGGAAAAUGAAGACGGGUUUAUCAAAAAGGGUCAAACUGGUUUGCUUUUCGAACCCUU
rnacentral:lncRNA from 1 species